rnacentral:tRNA from 1 species
GGAGGUAUAGCAUAACUAAUGUGUUUCACUUACUCUGAAAAGGAUCUUUUUUAUAAAGUACCUCCU